rnacentral:rRNA from 1 species
AUGGAGUGCCAUCGUACUGUUAGUUUGGUCGUGCUCGUGCUCGUGCUGCUGCUCCAUUGGCCGGCGUUGAGCUAUGCGUCGGUGCCGGUGUCGAGGACCAUCACCGUGGACAGUGAAGGGCGAGGGGAUUUCAGGAGCAUUCAGUCGGCGGUGAACCUCGUCCCGGAUGGCAACCGCGAGUGGGUCAGGAUCCACGUCCGGGCAGGGCGGUACAGGUUCGUCUUCUACAUACUAGGCAGUUCGGCAUUGCUUCAACAUGUGGUAAGCAAGUAUGGUUAUGAUGGUACAUGUGGUGCAUGCAGGGAGAAGGUGACCAUCCCAAAGAAGAAAGGCUACAUCUUGCUCGAAGGGGAGGGCCACUCGAGCACGGAGAUCUACUUUGACGACCACGCCCACGGCAGCACCGCCGGCCUGAUGCGCCGCGGCGCCGACGCGAUGCAGACGAGCCGCGUCACCCAAGCGCUCGCGGCGCUGGUCGAUGGUUACCGGAUCGCCUUCCACCGCUGUGCCUUCAGCGGCUUCGAGGACACGCUCUGCGACAACACCGGCCAGCACUACUUCCGUGAAUGCGUCAUCAAGGGCGGCGUCGACUUCAUCUUCGGCUACGCCCGGUCCAUCUACGACGGCUGCACCCUCGUGUCCAACAUACCCCGGCGGUACGGCCGCCGCCGUGCCGGGUGGGUGACGGCGCACGCCAGGGUCAACGCCAGUGACCCCGGAGGUUUUGUGUUCAAGGGCGGGGAGCUCCGAGGCACCGGGCGCCAGUAUCUCGGACGCGCGUGGAACAAGUAUGCCACUGUCGUCUACUACCACGUGAACAUGUCCAGCGUCGUCGUCCCGCAGGGGUGGGCUCCGUGGCACGCCGGCAACCAGACUAACGAUGUCCUGUUCGCAGAGGUUGGGUGCAUCGGCCCCGGGUCAGACAUGACCAGGAGAGUGCCGUGGGAGAAGCAUCUCAGCGAGGCGGAGGUGGAGAAGUUCGUGGACAUGAGCUUCAUCGACGACGGUUGGCUAGGCAAGCAGCCAUAG